rnacentral:rRNA from 2 species
GGUGCUAUACAUGCAAGUCGAACGAACUCUGGUAUUGAUUGGUGCUUGCAUCAUGAUUUACAUUUGAGUGAGUGGCGAACUGGUGAGUAACACGUGGGAAACCUGCCCAGAAGCGGGGGAUAACACCUGGAAACAGAUGCUAAUACCGCAUAACAACUUGGACCGCAUGGUCCGAGUUUGAAAGAUGGCUUCGGCUAUCACUUUUGGAUGGUCCCGCGGCGUAUUAGCUAGAUGGUGGGGUAACGGCUCACCAUGGCAAUGAUACGUAGCCGACCUGAGAGGGUAAUCGGCCACAUUGGGACUGAGACACGGCCCAAACUCCUACGGGAGGCAGCAGUAGGGAAUCUUCCACAAUGGACGAAAGUCUGAUGGAGCAACGCCGCGUGAGUGAAGAAGGGUUUCGGCUCGUAAAACUCUGUUGUUAAAGAAGAACAUAUCUGAGAGUAACUGUUCAGGUAUUGACGGUAUUUAACCAGAAAGCCACGGCUAACUACGUGCCAGCAGCCGCGGUAAUACGUAGGUGGCAAGCGUUGUCCGGAUUUAUUGGGCGUAAAGCGAGCGCAGGCGGUUUUUUAAGUCUGAUGUGAAAGCCUUCGGCUCAACCGAAGAAGUGCAUCGGAAACUGGGAAACUUGAGUGCAGAAGAGGACAGUGGAACUCCAUGUGUAGCGGUGAAAUGCGUAGAUAUAUGGAAGAACACCAGUGGCGAAGGCGGCUGUCUGGUCUGUAACUGACGCUGAGGCUCGAAAGUAUGGGUAGCAAACAGGAUUAGAUACCCUGGUAGUCCAUACCGUAAACGAUGAAUGCUAAGUGUUGGAGGGUUUCCGCCCUUCAGUGCUGCAGCUAACGCAUUAAGCAUUCCGCCUGGGGAGUACGGCCGCAAGGCUGAAACUCAAAGGAAUUGACGGGGGCCCGCACAAGCGGUGGAGCAUGUGGUUUAAUUCGAAGCUACGCGAAGAACCUUACCAGGUCUUGACAUACUAUGCAAAUCUAAGAGAUUAGACGUUCCCUUCGGGGACAUGGAUACAGGUGGUGCAUGGUUGUCGUCAGCUCGUGUCGUGAGAUGUUGGGUUAAGUCCCGCAACGAGCGCAACCCUUAUUAUCAGUUGCCAGCAUUAAGUUGGGCACUCUGGUGAGACUGCCGGUGACAAACCGGAGGAAGGUGGGGAUGACGUCAAAUCAUCAUGCCCCUUAUGACCUGGGCUACACACGUGCUACAAUGGAUGGUACAACGAGUUGCGAACUCGCGAGAGUAAGCUAAUCUCUUAAAGCCAUUCUCAGUUCGGAUUGUAGGCUGCAACUCGCCUACAUGAAGUCGGAAUCGCUAGUAAUCGCGGAUCAGCAUGCCGCGGUGAAUACGUUCCCGGGCCUUGUACACACCGCCCGUCACACCAUGAGAGUUUGUAACACCCAAAGUCGGUGGGGUAACCUUUUAGGAACCAGCCGCCUAAAGGG